UUCUAAGGGCGUUGAAGCAUGAUCGCAAGGACAUGUGGAGCGCUUAGAAGUGAGAAUGCCGGUGUGAGUAGCGAAAGACGGGUGAGAAUCCCGUCCACCGAUUGACUAAGGUUUCCAGAGGAAGGCUCGUCCGCUCUGGGUUAGUCGGGUCCUAAGCUGAGGCCGACAGGCGUAGGCGAUGGAUAACAGGUUGAUAUUCCUGUACCACCAUUAUUCGUUUUAAGCGAUGGGGGGACGCAGUAGGAUAGGCGAAGCGUGCUGUUGGAGUGCACGUCCAAGCAGUGAGAUUGAGUGUUAGGCAAAUCCGGCACUCUUAAGAUUGAGCUGUGAUGGGGAGAGGAACUUGUUCCUCGAGUCGUUGAUUUCACACUGCCGAGAAAAGCCUCUAGCUAGAAUAACGGUGCCCGUACCGCAAACCGACACAGGUAGUCAAGAUGAGAAUUCUAAGGUGAGCGAGCGAACUCUCGUUAAGGAACUC
rnacentral:rRNA from 1 species